AUGAUCAAGACCUCAACCACUUUAACAGUUGGCAACGACCAAGACCCCAAUCACAUUAAGAAUAUUCGGCCCUUUGUAGUAGUGCGCGCCCUCUUUUCUCUGGCACCACACCCUUGUCUUGUCUUCUCUCUAGCUCAAUCGUUUCUGUUUUCAGACGGAAAACAUGGCUGCAACUGUCCUCCUCCCUGCUGCUCAGGCAGGCCUGGUUACCUUGAUUCCACUUGCAACGGAACAGAUUAAGUUGGCUUGGGGUUUCAAAGGAGGCCUCCAAAAGCUCCGAAGAAGGUUAAACAACAUCCAAGCUUUGCUACGUGAUGCUGACAAAGGCCAAAUUGGAUCAGAAGCCUUGAAAGAGUGGCUCAAGAGUCUCACGUCGGUAACCUGCGAUGUGGAGAAUGUGCUGGGUGAGUUUGCGUACGAAGCUCUUCGAAAGAAGUUGGAGGUAGGAAACCGGAUGAGGCACAAGGUACGCAACUUCUUCUCGUCCUCUAACCCGCUGGCAUUUCGUAUCAAGAUGGCCAAUAGGGUGAACAAUAUCAAUUCGUUAUUGGAUGAAAUUUGUAAAGAAGCACGUGAUAUGGGUCUUAGACCAGCAGUGCAACUCACGAGUGCUUUAGUUUCGCCUAGUGAGCGUAGGCAAACUACACCUUUCGUAGACGAAUCACGUUGUGUGGGGAGGGAUGGUGAUGUGGUAGUAGUGAGAGACAUGUUACUCGGCUCUAAAGAUGAUUUAUCUGUCAUUGCUAUUGUAGGAAUCCCUGGGCUUGGAAAGACCACACUAGCUCAGUUAGUUUACAAAGAUAAGAAGGUUGUGGAUUAUUUUGGUGAUAACAAAAUGUGGAUUUGCGUCUCUGAUGAUUUCAAGGUUGAAAGGUUAUUGAAUGAGAUGGUGAGUUCACUUUUUCAAGAAAAAUCAGAGAUUCCAAGCAUUGAAGGGAUAGUGAGAAAGCUUGGAGAGAAACUGAAGGAAAAGAAAUACUUACUCGUAUUAGACGAUGUUUGGAAUACGAAUCCACAAAUAUGGGAAGAUUUGAUAAGUUCUUUGAAAGGUAUAGAGGGCUCCAAUGGAAGCAAAAUUAUAGUUACGACCCGUAGUGUGGAUGUGGUAUACGCAAUGCGGGUGCCCCAAGCUCUUACCCAUCCUUUGCAUAAACUAUCAGCUAAUGAUAGUUGGACCAUGUUUAGGGAAAGGGCUUUUGCAAAUGGAGGACCAAGAGAAACUCAAACUCUAGUAGAAAUUGGUGGAAGAAUGGUAGAAAAGUGUAAGGGUGUGCCGUUGGCGAUAAAGUCGUUAGGAGGUUUACUGUACGACAAGAAAUCUCUACCGGAAUGGGAGUCUAUUGAGGAGAGUGAAAUAUGGAGAAGUGAGGGUGAAAUUCUUCCAGCAUUAAGGCUUAGUUUCCAUCACCUAUCCUCCCCAAGUUUGAAACAAUGUUUUGCCUAUUGUUCUAUUUUUCAAAAGGAUAAAUUAAUAUUUAAGGAUAACUUGAUUCAGCUUUGGGCUGGUCAAGGUUAUCUUCGGUCUCUUUCAGAAGGGAAUUUGGAUAUGGAAGACGUAGGCAAUGACUAUUUCAAUACCUUGUUGCGUAAUUCACUAUUUCAAGAUGUUAACUUCGAUGAGUAUAAUGAUGUUACUGCUUGCAAGAUGCAUGAUCUUGUGCAUGAUCUUGCUCUAGAUGUUUCAAAAGGUAGUUGUUUGACUUUGGAAGCUAGUGCGGUUAAAGACCAUCCCGAAGUUCAACAUUUGUCAUUGUGUCUCAAGGAAGAAACAAGGUUAGAAUUUUCACAUGGAACUAUUGGGAAAUUGAGGUCACUAUUUUUAACUGGAAAUCUCCCACAAAAUAUGGAAGAUGUCAAAUCUAUUCGUGCCUUGAGUAUAGUAAAAUCUGAUCGGAAAGUAAAAUUUUAUAGGAAAGCGUUAAUAAGAUCUGUUGGAGAGUCUGAUGGGGAAGAGUUAAUAGAAUCUGAUGGGAAAGAGUUGUCGCGUUCUAUAUGCAAGUUUAUACAUCUAAAAUAUCUUGACCUCUCAGAGUCUUCUUUUGAAAAAAUGCCCAAUUCUAUCACCAAGCUCUACAAUUUGGAAACACUGAUGUUGCCACCGUCUUCAAAUAUUUUAGAAGAGAUUCAAACAGAAUUUCAUAAGUUGGUUAGCUUGAGACAUCUUUGCGUGAAAGAUGCAGAAGCUAGCACGAAAAUGAUUCCACCCAUGAUAGGCCGCUUGACUUCUUUGCGGACGUUACCAUUCUUUUCUGUGGGUGAGGACGAGGGCCAUAGAAUUGAAGAGCUCGGAAGCUUAAGCAAGCUGAGAGAUAGAUUACGUGUUUAUGAUCUCCAAAACGUGAAAGACAAGGAAGAAGCAGAAAGAGCUAAAAUGUCUGAAAAAUCAAAAGUUACAAAGUUGGAAUUUCAUUGGGAUAGGAACCAUGUAACGUCAGACAUUAACGAUGGGGAUGUGUUGGAAGGACUUAAACCUCACAAGAAUCUUAGGGGUUUAAUUCUCAAAAAUUUCGGAGGAAGAAAAUUGGCAUCAUGGAUGAGGAGUAGAGAUGAUCAAACGCUUCAUAAUUUAGUGAAGAUUGAAUUAAUCGACUGCCAAUCAUGUGAAGAUAUCCCAAUACUCGGACACCUUCCGAAACUUGAAGUCGUUGUAAUGGAAAAUUUGGAUAAUGUGGAGAGAAUUGGUCCUGAAUUCUAUGGUUUGGAGGGACAAAUUGUUGGUUGUAGUAGCAGUACUGUGGCUGUGCCAGCACCAGGAGUAUUUCCGGCAUUGAAAAAACUCACUAUUCAUGGUUUGCGAAAGCUAAAAGAGUGGUUAGAUAUAUCAUCAUUGCCUCCUGCAAUCACGAGUACAAUGGAGUUCUUUCCUCGUCUCGAGGAGUUGCAUAUCGAGAAAUGCCCUAACUUGAUCACCAUUCCAGGUCAUUUGUUAUGCAUUCAAAAUUUAGCUAUUUGUGAGGAAGCGUUGUAUGGUUAUGAUAUAUUUGCGAAUGGACUCACUUUGACCAUAGUGGUAGAUCCGGAUUCGACAAAUGUCAAUACUCUAAUUGAACAUUUGUUAGAAACAAGCGGCAAGUCCCUAAAGCGUCUGGGAAUAGCGGGCUCGAUUGGAUGCGGUAUUAGGUUUGGAGGUAUUAUAUAAGAAGGGGGGAUUAGAUAGUAGGGGGUAUUGGUUAAUAAGGGAUGGCCCGCAUUGAUGUGAUAUUUAUGGAGGGGGGAUUAAAUAGUGAUUGGUUUGGAUGGAGUAUUAGAAAGGGGGGAUAAAAUAGUACGUGGUUUGGAUGUAGGAUAAAAAGGGGGUAUUAGGAAGGGUGGAUAAUGUAAAAAGCUGUCAAAUGACUUUUUUACCCUUGUGCAGUCUCAUACUUAAUUAUGUAUUAUGUUAUAUGUAUAAUUACAAAUAUAAUUAAUCUUUCAAACUUUAAUCCAUAAUAUAUAUUUUUACUAAAAAAUGUAAUAAUUUAAUAAUAUUAUAAAAUAAAAAGUCAGUUUUAAUUUGAUAAAAAUCGUUUUUUGCAAAUAAAAAUUCUGUUUAUUUUUUUUGUUGCAAAAAUACAUUGUUUGGUAGUUGAAAAAGUGUGCAACAAUUUUGUUAGGUGAAUUUGCAUGUGGCCAACAUAUUUUUUUGGUGAAAAUGUGCCUAACUAAUAUAAUAAGAAUUAUAUAAAAUAAAUAAAAUAUUUACAUUUCGUUUUUAAGUGCUUUAUUAUAUUUAUGAGAAAUAUUUUUAUACUUGAUGAAAUUUUAAAAUGUUAAAAUACGUACCGAUUAUUUGGAUAAAAUAAAAUAAGUUUUCUUUAAAAUGUUUGAACUGGUUAUUUGUUGAAAAUGUUGAAUAAAAAUAGUUAAUAAUGUUUAAAGUACGAAAUUUUUUCUUUUUUUUAAAAUGUGUAAUAGAACCGAAAUUUUAUGCAUUUUUUAAAAAACCAAAAUUUAUAAAAAUGAAUGGGGAGUAGAUGGUGGUUGGAAACAUGUGGGUGUUAGUUGAAUUCAUGUGAGUAGUAGGUUCAACAAAUUAAUUAUAUCAAAGUUUCUAUAAAUAGCACUCAUUUUCCAUAUCUCAUCUCACAUCUCAUAUUCAUUUCCUAAUUUCGUAAAUUUAUUUUCUUCAUCAUUUCAAUGGCACGCCGGGCUUGGAGCGAGGAGGAGGAGGAUGCAUUGUUAACAAACCUUACGAGCCUUGUAGAUCAGGGGGUUUGGCGAACCGACAACGGAGGGUUUCGCCCUUCCUACUUGGGAGUUCUUAAAAAUGAGAUGCGAGUUUCUUUCCCUCAAGCAGGUAUAAACGAAAUUCAUAUUGAAGGAAGGAUCAAGAAAUGGAAGAGUGAUUAUCGUAUACUAGACGCUAUGCUUAGGCGUCCUGGGUUCGGGUGGAAUCCAAAUGAAAACAAGCUAGUGGUGGCAAAUGAAAUUUGGAAUGAAUUUGUCCAAGAUCAACGACAUCUGAGACAUUUACGGGACAGGCAAUUUCCCCAUUUUAAUCGAUGGGCCUAUUGCUUUGUUUCCGAGGAGAACUAGAAGUUCGAAGUUUAAGGCGGCCAUUGGAAGAAUAAAUUGAAGUUAUGAUAAUAAAUGUGUUGACGAAUAAAUCAAUGGGCUUCCUAAUUUGUUUUAUGUAUGGAUGUGAGAGGGUGUACUUCUGUUGGGGCUCUGUAUUGUACUAUUGUUUUGAAGUGAAAUUUUGAACCAUCAAAUAA